UACGUAGGGGGCGAGCGUUGUCCGGAUUUAUUGGGCGUAAAGAGCUCGUAGGCGGUUUGGUAAGUCGGGUGUGAAAUCUCCACGCUCAACGUGGAGGGGCCACUCGAUACUGCCAUGACUAGAGUUCGGUAGAGGAGUGUGGAAUUCCUGGUGGAGCGGUGAAAUGCGCAGAGAUCAGGAGGAACACCCGUAGCGAAGGCGGCACUCUGGGCCGAUACUGACACUGAGGAGCGAAAGCGUGGGGAGCGAACAGG
rnacentral:rRNA from 1 species